rnacentral:lncRNA from 1 species
ACUUUACCUCGUUGCAGCAGUAGGUUCUCUUGCUCUUCAGUCUCCACCAUCAGCAGGUUCUCUCAUCCAACAUUAAUGAGUUUGUUUUGUGGCUGUUCUUUCACUCAUGAUAGCUAUAGGUCAGGAGCACUACACCAACAGGUUCUCUCAUCUUUCUCACUCAGUCUCACUCCCGUCUCUCUCAGUCUUCAUCAAAUUCAGGGAUAUAAGCAAGCUCUCGUCCGUAGACCCCUCUCGCACUGUCGAUCCCAUAUCUUCCCUGCCUGAUUUCCAGGAUUCAUAAGCUCCGCCCAUGGCCAGAUUCCGUUUCUCUAUGAUUUCUUAUUUAUGUCUUAGGAUUAUAAGGUGGAGUAGAACAGUUGUUUGCCUUCUUCUUCACCUACAUCCUCUCUUUGGAAUCCUCUUUCC